rnacentral:rRNA from 1 species
UGGCUCAGAUUGAACGCCUGGCGGCAGGCCUAACACAUGCAAGUCGAGCGGAAACGAGUUAUCUGAACCUUCGGGGAACGUUAAGGGCGUCGAGCGGCGGACGGGUGAGUAAUGCCUAGGAAAUUGCCUUGAUGUGGGGGAUAACCAUUGGAAACGAUGGCUAAUACCGCAUAAUGCCUACGGGCCAAAGAGGGGGACCUUCGGGCCUCUCGCGUCAAGAUAUGCCUAGGUGGGAUUAGCUAGUUGGUGAGGUAAUGGCUCACCAAGGCGACGAUCCCUAGCUGGUCUGAGAGGAUGAUCAGCCACACUGGAACUGAGACACGGUCCAGACUCCUACGGGAGGCAGCAGUGGGGAAUAUUGCACAAUGGGCGAAAGCCUGAUGCAGCCAUGCCGCGUGUAUGAAGAAGGCCUUCGGGUUGUAAAGUACUUUCAGUUGUGAGGAAGGGGGUGUCGUUAAUAGCGGCAUCUCUUGACGUUAGCAACAGAAGAAGCACCGGCUAACUCCGUGCCAGCAGCCGCGGUAAUACGGAGGGUGCGAGCGUUAAUCGGAAUUACUGGGCGUAAAGCGCAUGCAGGUGGUUCAUUAAGUCAGAUGUGAAAGCCCGGGGCUCAACCUCGGAACUGCAUUUGAAACUGGUGAACUAGAGUACUGUAGAGGGGGGUAGAAUUUCAGGUGUAGCGGUGAAAUGCGUAGAGAUCUGAAGGAAUACCAGUGGCGAAGGCGGCCCCCUGGACAGAUACUGACACUCAGAUGCGAAAGCGUGGGGAGCAAACAGGAUUAGAUACCCUGGUAGUCCACGCCGUAAACGAUGUCUACUUGGAGGUUGUGGCCUUGAGCCGUGGCUUUCGGAGCUAACGCGUUAAGUAGACCGCCUGGGGAGUACGGUCGCAAGAUUAAAACUCAAAUGAAUUGACGGGGGCCCGCACAAGCGGUGGAGCAUGUGGUUUAAUUCGAUGCAACGCGAAGAACCUUACCUACUCUUGACAUCCAGAGAAGCCAGCGGAGACGCAGGUGUGCCUUCGGGAGCUCUGAGACAGGUGCUGCAUGGCUGUCGUCAGCUCGUGUUGUGAAAUGUUGGGUUAAGUCCCGCAACGAGCGCAACCCUUAUCCUUGUUUGCCAGCGAGUAAUGUCGGGAACUCCAGGGAGACUGCCGGUGAUAAACCGGAGGAAGGUGGGGACGACGUCAA